CGUAAGGCGCCGAAUGAGUCAUUAAAAGAUUAACAUCAUCCGAUCCCUAGUCGGCAUAGUUUAUGGUUAAGACUACGACGGUAUCUGAUCGUCUUCGAUCCCCUAACUUUCGUUCUUGAUUAAUGAAAACAUCCUUGGCAAAAUGCUUUUCGCAGUAGUUAGUCUUCAAUAAAUCCAAGAAUUUCACCUCUGACAAUUGAAUACUAAUGCCCCCAACUAUCCCUAUUAAUCAUUACGUCGAUCCUAGAAACCAACAAAAUAGAAUCAAACGUCUUAUUCAUUAUUCCAUGCUAAUGUAUUCAAGCGUGAGCCUGCUUUAAACACCUUAA
rnacentral:rRNA from 1 species